CAGAAAAAAGAUUUUAAAAGCACGAUGAGGUCAUGCUGCAGAAAGACUUAAGAACUGUUGCUCUGAACAAAACCGAAAUAACUAGUUACAACCUUCGUGGUAUUUAUUCUGCAAUGAAGAUAGUAUGUUUGAAACUAAAUUCAUUCUUCUCCAGUCAAUUUCUACUGUAUCAGGGUUCACUUACACAAGGAACCUUCUUCUAUAACUCUCAUACAGAAUAAAGGGUCGCAGGAGCAAAACAUAUUAUCAACUUCUGCUGCUGAAGAAAAGAAAAAAAACAACAACCGAGGUUUUCCCCUCGACAUUUAGACUCCUGUUUCAAAGACAUAGACGUCCCUAGUUCUCCAGGUUUCAGUAUCUAAUUCGCGGAACUGGCAAACUUUCAAAAUCAGUGCUGAUUGCUUAUUCAGAUUACCUAAAAACAUUUCUAAAUCCCCUAAGUAGAGAAUGUCCUCCGAGUUCCAGAAACUUUAAAGCAUAAUUCCUCACUGAAAAUUUGGCAAAGAAACUUACACGAAGUUUUUGGGAAGAAUCUUAAAUGUAAAGAGAAAACUAGUAGCUGCAUUUCCAACCGAAGCCUCAGAGUCACUUGCCGGCAGCCCUUCCCCUCCCAGGCGGUGACCUGAAAUCCCUGCUCCAGCCACUCAGAGGCCCCUGCUGGGACGUCUCCCCCUUUCAUUGUCUUCAGCUAAACCCCAUCCCAUCCCUCAGGUCAGACCUGCAGGUGCCCAGACCACCCC
rnacentral:lncRNA from 1 species